AUUUAAGCAUAUAAUUAAGCGGAGGAAAAGAAACUAACUAGGAUUCCCCUAGUAAGGGCGACUGAAGCGGGAAUAGCUCAUAUUGUGAAUCUGUGCCCUCGUGGCACCGAAUUGUGGUCUAGAGAAGCAUGUGUUUGGCACGCCGGGUCAAGUCCCUUGGAAGAGGGCAGCUGAGAGGGUGAGACUCCCGUUCGUACCUGGGUUGUGGCCAUUUGACACUAGCUUUCGACGAGUCGAGUUGUUUGGGAUUGCAGCUCAAAGCCGGUGGUAAAUUCCAUCUAAAGCUAAAUAUGGGUGGGAGACCGAUAGUGUACAAGUACCGUGAGGGAAAGAUGCAAAGAACUUUGAAAAGAGAGUUAAAGAGUACCUGAAAUUGCUGAAAGGGAAGCGAAGGAAACCAGUGYUUCGCCUUGUCAUACUUCUCCUCCUGCUUGCGGGUGGGGCGCUGUGGCUUGGCAAUAGUCAGCCUUGGUUAGUUUCGGUAGAAACCUGUUGCUGGGAGGUAGGUCCAUUCGGACUGAUACCAGUAACAAGUGUACCGGGAAGGACCGAGUGCUGACGAAAUGGUUUUCUUUACCCCGUCUUGAAACACGGACCAAGGA
rnacentral:rRNA from 1 species